UGAUACUCUAAGAAUAACUUCGGUACAUCCGAAAUCUUUCCCGGUGCCGCAGCCACUAACGCCUACCCCUCCAACGAAUUGAAACACUAUUACAAGAAGUACAAGAAAGAAAAGAUGUCGGCGGAAACUGCAAUAAAGGGACUUAACCAUGACUGCGUUUUUGCAGGGGCGAGGGGAAGAAGGAAGUAUUUCUGCCACGAUGUGUACGUGUGUUUUCCCCCGGUUUAUCAUGGUGACGUGAAGCAGCCCCGUUUGCAGCAAGCCGGCAGCUAUACCCCGAGUAACUAUGCCGUAAGGUUGCACCAGAAUAGACUGGAGGGCGUCAGGCGUAGGCACGCACCGCUGAACGUUCGCAACUUCACCGUACCAGGGUCGCAAGUGAGUCUCCACUGAUGACGCCGUCGGAGGCCACGACACAUCACACCGAAGAACAACCACCACACACACGAGACGGAGAAGACUGGGAAGAAAGAGAGAGAGAAGACUGAAGAUCUGAAAAAGCAAGAACAUGAAAGACACUGAGAAACAGAGAUUAUAAGAGAGAGACAGUUUCUUAAAGAGAGAAUAAGGAAGUUCAUGAUACUAAGCUUAAGUGUACAUGCGCAAGGUCAAGGGUGAAGGCCCCUGACACAUAAACAAAUCAUUAUGCAAAUGACCAAUGGUUAUGCAAAUCUGCCGAUGGUUAUGCAAAUUGAACGACAUUUAUGUAAUUCGACCGAUGGUUAUGCAAAUCAACCGAUGGGGGCUUUUACUUUUGAUUUUGCGCAUGCGUGCUUAACGUCGUGAACCACAUUGUUGGAGAAGUGCGUUCGGGAAACGUCGGUCUUUUCCGUUGACGUUCCCGACGUUGUAACGAUCCACGUUUGGUGGAUCUCAAAAGCUUCUGUGACGUCAUGCCAAUCAAAUGUAUAAGUAUAACAGGAGGCAAAUCUGAUUGGCUAGCUCGAAAUGAUGAGAUUAAAGUAAGAUGCAGUCGCGAGGCACCACAGGAUAAAAAGGUAGUGAAGAGUCUUUAAAAGUCAGAGAUCUUGUAGACAAGACAUAUUGUAGAAAUCAUACAGCUACAGAACCUUAUCAUUUUUGUAUACUUUUAUUGCUGUAAUUACUAAAGAGAUGGUAGCAUCAUAUCCAGCUCUUAAAGGGACUUUCCACGAAUUCUAAUUUUAUGCUACAUAGAUGGUGGCCAAUUGCAUAUUUAAAUCGAUACCGCAUUGCAUGUUGGGAAAUAUGUAAAACCACCAUAACAAUCUUGUCACUCCUUAUAAGGAAACCAAAGAUUACUGUCAACAUUUGUUUACAUCGAUUUAUUCGAUGCUUGUUUCAAAAUAAACUACAACAGUAACUGC